GAAAGUAGUGUGAGUUCAUGCUUCAUGCGAGAAUAAGUUAAAUAACAUCAGUUUGUAGUUCAAAGAAAAAUAAAAUAAAAAAUUCAGUUCGAAAUAGUUUACGUGGACACAGAAUACAAGACACAAUGAGCAUCCACCCAUGGAAUAGGAAAAAAUAGAUCUUCACCAGCAUGAGUACAUUUUGUGAGAGGAAGAUUAUGUAUUAACCGCAUCACUACUGUACGCUUUAAAUUUGCUCGAGCCGCAUUUUCAUCUUCUUGCUCCUUAGUGGCAUCAUCGUUGUACUGCAUGAGAAUGGUGAAUACUAAUUCGAUAAAUUCUUCUAAAAUGUUCUGGAUGGAAAAAAACUUUUACAAGCUGAAUCCUAAAAAUGACCAGUGAAAGGAGAAGACAGGUACCUCUAUCAAAUAACCACCAUGCUCUUUUGAGAGCUAGACCUAAACUUCCUGCUACUAGGGCGGAUAGAGUACAUAGCAGAAUUGCCCCCACUAUUGAUCAUCUCUCCAUAGAGACCAAAGACCAACCUGCUAUUAGAUAGACCAUAGUUCAGGUACAUAGCCAACUAGCUUCAGCUGCCCAUCCAAUUCUUCCAGCAACGAGUAAAUCUCAUCAGAAGCUAGGUGAGAUUUAUCAGAUGCAGCAAAUUGAUGCACUUUACUUUCCAUCUCUAUCCAACUGGACCCGGGACAUCUCUUUUCUAUUCCUAAUUUCCUCAUGCCGUCCCUGAUCUUCGCAGCCUCACUCCACCUAUUAACUUCAGCAUACAUGUUAAUCAAAAGAGUAUAAUGCCCACUGUUGCUUGGCUCCAAAAUCAUCAAUUCAUUAACAGCAACCUGUGCAAUCUCCAAGUUCUUGUGAAGUUUACAUCCACCCAACAAAGCACCCCAAAUAACAGCGUUUGCUUCGAAUUUCAUAGUUCUUAUCAAUUGUAAUGCUUCUUCAAGCAAGCCAGCUUUGCUCAAUAGAUCAACCAUGCAUCCAUAAUGU
rnacentral:misc_RNA from 1 species